UCGUCUUUCCUAGGCAGUUGAAAGUUCCGUUGGAAGACUAAAAAUUCAAAACUUGACAGGAAAUAGUACAAGAAUAAGUUAGGCUCUUUGGGCGGUAAAGGACUCACCGGAAGAGAGCUUGAACUCAGGGCAGAAAUAGUACGUGGAGCUGCCACGUUGAGAAAGACUGAUGUCUCCAGCAUUAAUUGCUAUUUUGUGUACUGCCAGUCAUGACGGAUAAAGUGUGUAGCUGCUCCCAUCUUAUUUGGGGAGGUGUUAUUGGAAUCGGUAGGCAGAGGAGCUGAAAAUGAAGAUGUUUACUGGGCCAUGGUCCAUUGGGAACCGGGGCACACAGUCAACAGGCAAACCUCUGAGCAUGCAAAGCUGCAUUUGUGCAAAUGGCACACAUAUGCGUGAAACCAUCCCUUCUCCACCCGCUGCCACCAGACUGCAGAGCCGGAAAGGUUGAGGACUGCUGCUAUAGACUACAGACUCAGGGGACAGACCAGCUGUCAGCUGAGUCACAGGCGGUCAGGGAGUUGGCAGUGGUGAAGGUGAAAUGUGACUUUGGAAGGGAAGAGAGACCCAACAGGAUGCAGAUGGUGCUAAGUAGGAGCAAAGCAAAGGCCGAGGGACAAAGCAGCCUUGGGAACAAAUGAAGAGGGAAAAAUUUUUUGCUUAACCCAGGCGGCCUUUCCAACCUUGCAUCUUUCAGCAAAUGGUGCUGUGAGCUGGCAUGAAGGAAAGAUCAUCAGAGCCAAAAGAAAACCAUUCUAUCUGUGAACUGUAGUAGUGGAAGCUCAGCUCAAUCUGGAGACCCAGGUUGGGGAAUGCUGUGCACAGGAGUCAAGAAACAGAUGCUCUUUCACUUCUUAAGAGAGAAAAAUGAUCUGAACCGACCAUCCCCAUUUUCUGAACCAGAGAACCUCUAAGCCAGCCAUUUGCUUCUUCUCAAGAUCCCAGACACCUCUCCAAGUAAUUAGCAAGUAACUCAGCAGGGUAAAGAAAAUGUCCCACAACGUGAGAUGCAGCAUAUACAUUAAUAAGAUGUAAAUGUAUUCAGAGUGAAAAUAGUGUUGGCAGAGGAUAGCAAGGGGGAGAAGGCAGAUCCCUUGUCAUUUUUGCAAUGCUAGAUCAACAUCAUUCCUCCUCUCCCUCCUUCCACCUUGUUUGCUUUGAUGAAAGAAUCAGGGUGGUGAGAACAAAGCUAUGACAGACAUCUAUCCAUAUUUGCAGCUUGCCCAGGAUCAUUGUUAGGAUGUAUUCUUCAUACAAUGUACUGACCCUCCGCUGGUUCAACUGGGUUCAAAGCCUGUGUCUCUUAGAGAUGAAACUUCCCUAACUCCAGCAUCAUUCUUUGGAGAAGGAGAUCAUAACAUCCCCUAUUAUCUCACAUUCUUCUUGGAAAUCAAAAAAGAAAGGAUGGAGAAACAAGCAAGAGAAAGAAGCAAAUUGUUGGGGAAAUGAGCAAAUGUGUGCCAUAGAAUAGGAAAGUUUCCCCAGGAUUGGAUUCUUCUUCAGGGAGUGAAGUCUGCAUAAUGUGGCCAAAACAGUAUAAUUUGAAUUUGUCCAAGUGUGUAGCAGCGAACUAUAUGUCUCACAUGGAGUGUUGUUGCACAUUACUUCCUCUGCUCCCUUCAGGGAACUUCUGAGAUGAAGGUAAUAUAAUAAUGAUGAUUAAUAGUGAUGAUUUGCAAUCACCCUCUAGGUGAGGUUUUUAAGUAGUGGAUUAUUAAAUAGCUUUUCAUCAUUCAAAAAUGUAACAUUCAGUUCUUUUACAUACCAAAGAAGACUAUGUUAGACUGAAAUGCUAGAUUCCUGCAUUCUUUUAGUUAUCUCCUAUUCCUAGUCCAUUAGCAAGUGAAAAGGGUGUGUGUGAAUAGUGUCAAAAUUGUCCUGGAAGAUUAAAUUCUACUUUGAAAAUA